CUUUUUAUCUUUUUUUUUUUUUUUAUUUUUUCUUUGCCUUUUCUAGGGCCGCUCCCGUGGCAUAUGGAGGUUUCCAUGCUAGGGGUCUAAUUGGAGCUGUAGCUGCUGGCCUAUGCCGGAACCACAGCAACACAGGAUCCGAGCCGCAUCUGCAACCAACACCACAGCUCACAGCAAUGCUGGAUCCUUAGCCCACUGAAUAAGGCCAGGGACUGAACCCACAACUUCAUGGUUCCUAGUCGGAUUCGUUAACCACUGCGUCAUGAUGGGAACUCAAAGGCCGGCUUUUUAACCCACCGAGCAUGGCCAGGGAUCAAACCUGCAUCCUCAUAGAGACUAUAUUGUUGUUUUUUUUUUUUUUUUUUUUUUUUUUUGCUAGGGGUCGAGCUGAAGCUGGAGAUGCUGGUCUAUAGGAUCCAAGCCAUGUCUGCGACCUACACCAUAGCUCAUGGCAACGCUGGAUCCUUAAUCCACUGAGUAAGGCCGGGGAUCGAACCUGCAACGUCAUGGCUCCUAGUCGGAUUUGUUAACCACGGAGCCACGACGGGAACUCCCUGGAAGUUUUCUUGAGCCAAGACAUUCUCUAAAGAGGGACGACAGCUGAGGGUCAUGGCAGCAUUCCCAGAAGCUGGGGGAGUGACUCCUACAUUCCUGAAGGGGAAUCUGGAUUGAGUCGCACAGCACCCAUCACUCCCAAACUCCAGAACCAGGCGUAAGAAAAAAUCCUUGAAAGCUUCCUGAUGGGAAACACAGGGCAGCCACGAAGGGACAGGAAUAAGAAUACAUCACGAAGAGCACAAGCACAUCAGAAAAGGCAAUGGAGAAAUGCCUUCAAACAUCCCAUAGAAAUCAAUUUCUAACCUAGAAUUCAAUUCUGAGCCAAACUGUCUGUCAAAUUUGAGGUACAAUAAAGGCAUUUCAGAUAGUCAGACAUUUGAUUUUUCCCAUGCAGUAUUCCUUAAGAAGGAUUUGAAUACGGGAUUCAGGAAGUAAAGGAUCUGCCAAGAAGACGUGAAAGGCAGUCUGAGUAGAAAUGCUAAGCUGCGGCCUAGAGCCAACAGGGGGGCCUGGGCUCUGGAGAGAAGCUGUUAAUGUGUCUAAACCUCAUUUUACUAUGGCUGUGUCGACAACUGGUACAUUUGUGAAGAAAAAUGAAUAAAUGAUUUUUGUAAAAUCAAGAUAGAGGUCACCUCUAAAAACGGAGAGUGAUGGAGUUCCUGUUGUAACUCAGCAGUUUACCCUCACAGUGUCCGUGAGGAUUCAGGUUGCAUCCUCUGCCUUAUCCGUGGGUUCAGGAUGUGGCAUUGCCGCAAGCUGCAGCAUUGCUCCCAGUGUGGCUCAGAUCCAGCACUGCUGUAGCUGUGGCGUUAGGCAGGCAGCUGCAGCUCUGAUUCGACCCCUAUCUAGCCAGGAAACUUCCAUAUGCCACAGGUGUGGCCCUAAAAAUAAACUAAAUAAAUAAGGAGAAUAAGGGCUGUGACUAGGGGGAGGAGCCUUUGAGGUGCUGGCGGUGUUUGUGUGUUUUUUUUUUUUUUUCAGCUGCACCCAUGGCAUAUGGAAAUUCCUGGGCCAGGGAUCAAAUCCAAGCCUCAGCUGCAAACUACGCCACAGCUGCAGCAACGCUGGGUCUUUAACCCACUACAACAGGAACGCCAAUGUUUUUUUUGAUCUGAGUGAUGGUUACAUGGGUAUUUGCUUUAUAAUUACUAGCAUUACUGCAGACACAUAUACAUAUUACUUUAUAUAAAUGCUUUAUGUCAUUUUCUAUGUAUAUAUUUUUAAAUAAGUCACUUAAAAUUUCUAUUAAAAAAUAAUAAGCAUAAAGCCCUCAGCGCAGUGCCUGCCCUGGACAUACAGCACUUGUCCAAUAAGUGUCAUGAAUAUUCUCAUCCUCAUCAUUAUCCUGACCUUGCCAUCCAUUCCUGAAGAAGUAUUUUCAGUUUUUGGUUUCUACAAGAGAGAGAUGUGAGAUGUCUUCCAGAGGAGCAUUUAAAAGGGGGGAGGAUUAGUACUUGGCCAGGAAACCAGUUUUAUGUUUGCAAUGACAAAAAAAAUUAAAUCCAGAGCUUCCUGUUCUGAAAACAUGCCACUAUCAGAGAGAAAAUUAAGAUAUUUUCUCUUUUCCCUGCUUCUAUAGCUGUCAAGCGGGCAGUAGGAUGGAAAGUUACCUUCUGCCUUCCCGACAGCAGCUCUGAUCCUUUGCUUCUGAGCAAACAUGAAUCCCAACGUGGAAACUUCUUAUGGGGCAGAUAAUUCUUGGGACACUUUUCCCUUCCUCUUAACACUCAUCUAACAGGGAAUCAGGCUGAUGGAAUGGAUAGAGCCCUAGCUGGGGAAUCGGGGGGCUUGGGCUACUACUUUGCCUUGAAGCAAUGUGCAUCUUGGUCAAAUCGCUCCCUUUCUUAGGAACGGGUUUUGUCAUCUGUAAAACCAGAGUUCGAGAACAAGCUCACCCUUCCAGCUCUUGUAGUCUGUGAUUCUAAAAUCCUGCAAAGGUAGGGAGAGAAAUAGCAUAGCUAACAGGAGGAGCAUGUGGGUGUUGAGUCAGACCUAGGUUUAUAUAACAGAGCUACCACCUACUAGUUUUAUAUGUGCUCUAAAUUAUUUAGUUGUCCUCAGCCUCAACCCCCAGGAGUAGUAACUGCCCUUGUAGUAGUAACUGCAGUUCAGAAAUGUUGUGAAGAUGAGGUGAAAUGGUCUAUGUCCAUGGAUCCCAAACUGUGUGCUGAGGUACACUAAGGCUCUGCAGUGAACUCACAGGGGGACCACUAUUGGAUAUUUCAAAUUUUUGAGGGAAAUAUAGUGACAUAUGUUGGGUAUCAGAGAUAAUUAAGAGUAUCAACAUUAGAUUGUGCUACAGUCUGUGAUGCUUUAUGUUUUGUCUUCACAAAGCUGGGUUUUCAGUAUGAUUAAAAGCAGGUUUCCUGUGAAAAUCAAUUUGGAACAUGAAAUGAGGGUAGUAGUAUCCACUUCGAUUAAGAAGUUGAACAGUGUAGGAGUUCCCGCCGUGGCGCAGUGGAAAUGAAUCCAACUAGGAACCAUGAGGUUGUGGGCUCGAUCACUGACCUCGCUCAGUGGGUUAAGGAUCUGGCGUUGCCAUGACCUGUGGUAUAGGUCACAGACGUGGCUUGAAUCACACGUUGCUAUGGCUGUGGCGGAGCGCUGGUGGCUUGGCUCCAAUUAGACUCCUAGCCUGGCAACUUCCAUAUGCUGCAGAUGCAGCCCUGAAAAGACAAAAAAAACCAAAAAAAAAAAAAAAAAA
rnacentral:lncRNA from 1 species